GACGUAGGUGGCAAGCGUUGUCCGGAUUUACUGGGCGUAAAGGGCGUGCAGGCGGUUUGUUAAGUGCAGGGUGAAAGCUCCCGGCUCAACUGGGAGAGGUCCUUGCAUACUGGCAGACUUGAGGGAGGCAGAGGAAAGUGGAAUUCCCGGUGUAGUGGUGAUAUGCGUAGAUAUCGGGAGGAACACCUGUGGCGAAGGCGGCUUUCUGGGCCUUACCUGACGCUGAGACGCGAAAGCGUGGGGAGCGAACCGG
rnacentral:rRNA from 1 species